rnacentral:rRNA from 1 species
GAUGAACGCUGGCGGCGUGCCUAAUACAUGCAAGUCGAACGGAGAACUUUUGUAGCAAUACGAAGGUUUCUUAGUGGCGAACGGGUGAGUAACGCGUUGGUGACCUGCCCCAAAGUGUGGGAUAACAGUCCGAAAGGAUUGCUAAUACCGCAUGUGGCCAUCGGGUUUAGAAACCGAUGUCUAAAGCCGCAAGGCGCUUUGGGAGGGACCUGCGUCCCAUCAGCUAGUUGGCGAGGUAACGGCUCACCAAGGCUACGACGGGUAGGGGGCCUGAGAGGGUGGCCCCCCACAAUGGAACUGAAACACGGUCCAUACACCUACGGGUGGCAGCAGUAGGGAAUAUUGCACAAUGGGCGAAAGCCUGAUGCAGCAACGCCGCGUGAGCGAUGAAGGCCUUCAGGUCGUAAAGCUCUUUUCUGGGAGAUGAGAAAGGACAGUACCCCAGGAAUAAGUCUCGGCUAACUACGUGCCAGCCGCCGCGGUAAGAC